UGACCAUAUCGCAUUGAAACACCGUUUCUCGUACGAUCACUCAAGUUAAGCAAUGUCGAGCCUGGUCAGUACCUAAAUUGGUGACCACUUCGGAAUACACGGUGCU